rnacentral:lncRNA from 1 species
UUUCUAUUAUUAGUAAUAUUUUUCCACACACAACAGUACACAGCAAAUAUCACUAGUAAGUUAUCUUUUUUAUAUGUCACAGUUAAGGCUUUAAAUUAAGUAGCAAACCAGGAACGUUAGCCUGAAGAAAAAGUAUGGUGAGUAUUUUUCAUAUUUUUUGGCAAGAUGUCGCUUAUCCUAUGACGUCAUUCAUAUAUUUUUUACUGAAUACGAUAAUGCAGUUUCAUCUAUGUUCUAGUGUUAUAAAUAUUUAUAUAGGAAAGUUGAUUUAAUCAUUUUACUUUUUAGUUAAAAUUAAUUGCAUCAGAUGAGUUAAUUAAUCUAUCGGAGUCUUCUGAUAAUGAUUCAAUCUGCAAGCUCUGAAACUUGUCCUUUAAAGAAGCAGACGAGCUUUUUGAUCAUGCUAAGACUCAUUUUGAAUGCAACAAAAAAUUCUUCAAAAGCUUCGUCAAUCUCUUCCGAACAUUUGCAAGGAUUGUACGGCUUUACUGCCGACUUUUGAACACCUAGUUAAACAUCAUUGUCUUCAUGUUAUGAGAGAGUUUGAUUCCUAUCAGGAGGUCACUGAGAAAGAGGAAUACUAUGAAGUCGAAGAAGGUAGCCUCUUUUUCUUCGAAGUCGUCCUUUGUAAAAUGAGGGUCAAAUUUAAGGGACUCGUGCUCUCCUAUCAUCCGGGAAUUCAAUCAAUAUUUAGAAAUUCAUACUGAUGCUUCAACGUCUGGGUUUGACAUCUCUUUUUCGGAUGGGAGGUUCAAGAAAAGAGAAUUGUCUUCAGAAGAGAUAAAAUUACGCAUCAAUAUGCCUAAAGGCAUAACUUUUGCUCAAAUUAUUCACAAAUUUGCCUUUACUGUCUUUGAUUACAAUUGUAUACCUACGGAGAUGCAAUCAGGAAAGCUGGAUGCAACGUUUCAGCAUCGCUAUUGUAAGGAACAAAAGCACAAGAACAGGACCGAUAAGCAAUAUAUUGCGGUCUUGGUUCGAUUUUGUCGGUUCCAGUUCUAGCAGUUCACGAAUCGAAACUGCUUGAACCGCUAGAUCGAUAUGGUACAACCUUGCUGAUUAGUUUUAUAUCUUGUAGAUAGUAGGUGGAUUGUUAAUGAGAAGAUCCUCCCCUGUUGUCAUGCAUGUGUGAAGAGAGAAUCUUCCCAUAAAUGAAUCUAAAGCUAAAGGGUAAAUAAAAGCUUCACAGCAAACAAGUUGAAAAGAAGGAACACAAAACAAGGAUAAUUUAUAAACUAUAUUUAUUUUAAUUUGUUAUGGAAAAUAUAUCCUUUAUCUGAGGUAAACUCUAACAACUUAAUAAAUUCCGAAGUCAAUAACGGCCUCUACUAUAACCAUAUAUUGAAGGUUCCAUCAAUAUCUCUCCAUGGACGUCUCUAAGCUUCAGAAUAAGAGACGCACACCAGCUCCCUAAAGGGGCUGGAUUUUUUGCUGCGUAUUAUUAAAAUUAUUCACUGUUUAGAAGAAGUACUUAGUCUUGGUGUGACGACGUUAUUGUUUUCAAUAAAUUAAAUAGUGAUUAUUAAUUAUUUAAUUGUUUCUUCUUGGAAAAGAAUGGGAUGGAAAUGCUGUGCCCAAGAUAUAGACAGGGGUAUGACGGUACCCUCAAGACCCCUGACAUUAGUUAUCACAAGUUUCCUGGUUUCAAUGUACCCCAUAAUCCUCAUCUUCAGUCAUGCUGGGAAAGGGCAAUACCAAGAUCAAUCACGGAUCUUAAAAACAAAACAAUCAUUUAGACAAUAACAGAAAAUUCAAGUUUAUGUUGCCUACAUUUUAAAGAGAAGACUUCAUUACUAACUCCGUUGACAAGUAACAUGGAAAGGCCGAGAGUAUAGAAUACAACUUCGUAGUCGGUAAAGCAGCUCAAAUUUCUCGUAAUUGAUGUAUUAUUCAUUAAUUUAUGACUUGUAGACGCUUGAAAAAUGAUGUUGUCCCCCCAGUUUGCCCAAAGCAAAACAAUGUCAUUCUUAAGCCUCCGGACUACCUUUCCUUCUCAUCACCACUACCAAGGCCAACUCGAGCUUCCAUUAGUAGUCAAAGACUCCAACUUGAACACCAACAUCAAGAGGCCUUGGAGUCUGAAAUGUUCAAUGAGGAAGAAGUGCACACGUCAACUGAUAUGUUUGAUAAGUUAUCACAGGAGACAUUGCCAUCAGGAUUUCUUCUUAUAAAAAGCACCCAAAUUGUUACUCGUAAAACUUGAAACUACUGAGGACAAGGGUCUAGAAAUCAAAGCAAGCUUGGAAAUCGAGGACAACCUCACCUUCAAAGUUUUCCUACGACAUCAGAGGAUUAGCAACACUUCAGUCUCUCACUGUCUUGGAUUAAAAUCGAAUAAGAUCAAUUUCGUGACUGAAGCUUUCAAUAUUGCUGCAUAUCUUGGAUCAAAGGAGCAAUUGACUCAAUAUCACACGCUUGAAGUCAUUAUGAGCUUGUUGCAUAGAUUGAAAGAAUCCCAAGACUUGGAGACACCCAAAACAUCAAAGUUGGAAUUUUUAAGUUGACACUACUUUUCUAGACCCCAAAAGCGAAGAGGUACAGUGCAGGCCUUCUUUCUGUUUGUCUUUUGUGGCAGAAUAUGAGUACUGCCCUCUACGACCAAAUUUAUAGAUCCAAUACUCUUACAAUUCCAUGUCCCCGGCAUCUUAGUGCACUUUCAAGGGCUGUAACUGUGGAGGCCGGUUUGCCAGUUUCAACCUUACAAUAUUUAAGUACCAGAAUAAAGGACCUGAAGAGAGGAGAACGAAAUGUGACUCUCAUAAUUGAUGAGGUCUACUCUGCUCAAAGAGGUGAGUUUGUGAGAGGCAAGUUUCUAGGAACUGAGAACAAUCAAACCACUAAAACUGUCCUCACCUUUAUGAUGAAGUCUGCUGGAGGAAAAUACAUAUAUGUUGUAUCUCUUAUCCCGUGGUAAAUUUGAAUGCCGAAUUCAUCUUUAGGCAAUAUAUAGUCAUCAUGCAAAGCACUAUACUAAAUUGGAUUUAUUGUUGUAGCCUUAUCUGUCGAUAAUCACCCAGCCAACAGGAACUUUUACUCGCAGCUUCUUUGUGCUGGUCAUCUACAAACAUCAAUAAUUCAUCCUCACAAUAAUUAUCUCAAGGUGCAUCUCCUCUCCGAUUCUGUGAACAAUUUCAAAAAUAUCUAUAUUGUUUUCAGUCUGGCAGUAUAGAGUGAAGAUUCAGCUGGUAUAGACAACUAAGCGGAGCUAAUGAUUAUAUGUAUUAGUGUUAGACAGAUAUUGGAGGCAGAAAAGAAAAUCAGGGUAAAGUGUCUCGUAAAAUUUAAUUGUAUGACUAUCUUUGAGAUUAAGGACGUGAUGGCUGAUGUAGAUGAGAAUAAAGUUGAAAUACUUCCCAUUGAUUGGGAGCCUUCAGACCUAGAGAAAAUGAGCAGCAUUGAAGAAAGUAAUGCAUUAUAUUUUGUUGCUGAAUACAUCGCAUUCUCUCUUAAUAAGAAAACGAAGUGUUCAUCAUGCAGAUCUCUUUUGGUUGGCAAUGACUCUCCAUUUAACACUGGCAUAAGAUUGAUGGCUGAAUCCGAAGAGGAACAAGUUAACUUGGCUAAGUUGAUAAAAAUUAUGAGUAGAGGAAGGCUCUCAACUCCACCCGAUAUCCUAUUUCUUACUUGUCUUUACGCUCAUUCUUUAUUUAUCUUCAUCACCAACGUACAGAAAAGGAAAUAUUCACUUAUUAACACCUCGAACCUAAGAGCUUCUUUUGUAAUUACGUUUCGGGGUUAAAUGCAGAAUACUUCUAAUUCAGGUAUUGAAGCUAUGAAUGCCAUUGUUUGCAGAAAUGGUCACAAAUGGAGUAGUUUGCACGGCAAGAUUUCACUAAUUCUCUUCAAUGUGAUAGGCAAGAAUUUGGCUAGUCAACUAAAUGAUAGGGUCCGUCAAGAGAGCAGAAAAAGAACUUCAAAUCAGAAUACAGCUAAGAAUGUCAAGUCCUCUUCAAGAAAGAUUUCUAAGCUUCAAUCAGGCUCUACUUAAUUAUGUACAUUUUAAUGUAUUACUUGAAUUCUCUUUUAUUGUCUAAUAAAAACAAUUACCCGUUC